UACGUAGGGGGCAAGCGUUGUCCGGAUUUAUUGGGCGUAAAGAGCGUGUAGGCGGCCUGAAAGGUCAGCUGUGAAAACUCGAGGCUCAACCUCGAGACGUCGGUUGAAACCAUCUGGCUAGAGUCCGGAAGAGGAGAGUGGAAUUCCCGGUGUAGCGGUGAAAUGCGCAGAUAUCGGGAAGAACACCCGUGGCGAAGGCGGCUCUCUGGGACGGUACUGACGCUGAGACGCGAAAAGCGUGGGGGAGCGAACAGG
rnacentral:rRNA from 1 species